CAGCGCCCGAGCGAGUCUCAGCAUCCCGUCCCCUCGGGGCCGAGGGAGAGGCCCCCGUCCGUCCGCGCUCCUGUGUCCGGGCCGCCGCCGCUGCCAGACCAUGGGAUGUCGGCAAAGCUCGGAGGAGAAAGAGGCGGCGCGGCGGUCCCGGCGCAUCGACCGGCACCUGCGCUCGGAGAGCCAGCGGCAGCGGCGCGAGAUCAAGCUGCUCCUGCUGGGCACCAGCAACUCGGGCAAGAGCACCAUCGUGAAGCAGAUGAAGAUCAUCCACAGCGGCGGCUUCAACCUGGAGGCCUGCAAGGAGUACAAGCCGCUCAUCCUCUACAACGCCAUCGACUCGCUCACCCGCAUCAUCCGCGCCCUGGCCGCCCUCAAGAUCGACUUCCACAACCCCGACCGCGCCUACGACGCCGUGCAGCUGUUCGCGCUGACCGGCCCGGCCGAGAGCAAGGGCGAGAUCACGCCCGAGCUGCUGGGCGUCAUGCGGCGGCUGUGGGCCGACCCCGGCGCGCAGACCUGCUUCGGCCGCUCCAACGAGUACCACCUGGAGGACAACGCGGCCUACUACCUGAACGACCUGGAGCGCAUCGCCGCGCCCGACUACAUCCCCACCGUCGAGGACAUCCUGCGCUCCCGGGACAUGACCACGGGCAUCGUGGAGAACAAGUUCACCUUCAAGGAGCUCACCUUCAAGAUGGUGGACGUGGGCGGGCAGCGGUCCGAGCGCAAAAAGUGGAUCCACUGCUUUGAGGGCGUCACGGCCAUCAUCUUCUGCGUGGAGCUGAGCGGCUACGACCUGAAGCUGUACGAGGACAACCAGACGAGCCGGAUGGCGGAGAGCCUGCGCCUCUUCGACUCCAUCUGCAACAACAACUGGUUCAUCAACACGUCGCUCAUCCUCUUCCUGAACAAGAAGGACCUGCUGGCCGAGAAGAUCCGGCGCAUCCCGCUGUCCGUCUGCUUCCCCGAGUACAAGGGCCAGAACACCUACGAGGAGGCGGCCGUCUACAUCCAGCGGCAGUUCGAGGACCUGAACCGCAACAAGGAGACCAAGGAGAUCUACUCCCACUUCACCUGCGCCACCGACACCAGUAACAUCCAGUUCGUCUUCGACGCCGUGACCGACGUCAUCAUCCAGAACAACCUCAAGUACAUAGGCCUCUGCUGAGGGGCCGGGCCGCCGUCUGCCCGUGACGGAACCCGGGGCCCGCCCCAGCCCCGCUCGUGCUGGGGAGACCCCGCGCAGGGCCAGAAAACGGGGCCUGCAGAACGUCCCCCGCCCCGCCCCGCCCCUCCGCCUCCUUGGCCCCCACAUUUCCACAGACAUAACCAUGUUCGGAUAGGCUGCUAGGUGGUCCUUUUCGUGUCUGGCUUGCUGAGUGUCACAGUUGUCAUCCGGCCCGUCCCUGCUCCUGCUCCUGGUGCGGUUUCUGCUUCGUUUUUGUUUCAGAAAAUUCAACGUGACGUAUUUAAAGGCGGUUCUUCCCCUCGGGGCGAAGGAACACAGCUAACUGUCUGGUGGUUAGAGGGGGUUCCCUGGCUUUGCGAGGAGGGGAAGGGGAGGCGGGAGGCGGGCCCUGGCCGCACCGCGCCGAGGCUGAGAGCCGCUCUGCCUCCUGUGAAGGCUCAGCCGGCCUGGGAGCCUGAGGGAGGCCCUGCCGGGACCCCAGCCCCCGCCCUGGCCCAGGGCCCGUGGCACCUGCCGCCGUGGGAGGACCUUGGCCGAGGAUCGCAUGUAAAUACGAACCCUGCCACCGAGAGGGAAGGCGCCCCGAGACCUUGCCAGAGCUCCUCUCCGCCUCCGUUCGGUACCGUGUGCCCGAGGUCGGCGCCGAAGCACAGCCGAGGACUUGGAGAGACGCACAGAGGGACGCGGGGCCGGUGUGGUGUGGAAGUCAGAGAUUGUCUACUUUCAGAAAAUAAAAUGUCCCG